rnacentral:rRNA from 1 species
AACGCUGGCGGCGUGCCUAACACAUGCAAGUCGAACGGAGUAGAACGCUGAUUUGAUGGAAGCUUGCUUCUGGAUUUUCUGUUCUGCUUAGUGGCGACGGGUGAGUAACGCGUGAGUAACCUGCCUUACAGAGGGGGACAACAGUUGGAAACGACUGCUAAUACCGCAUAAUGUAUAACCGAGGCAUCUCGGAUAUACCAAAGGAGCAAUCCGCUGAAAGAUGGCCUCGCGUCUGAUUAGCUAGUUGGUGGGGUAACGGCCCACCAAGGCGACGAUCAGUAGCCGGACUGAGAGGUUGACCGGCCACAUUGGGACUGAGAUACGGCCCAGACUCCUACGGGAGGCAGCAGUGGGGAAUAUUGGGCAAUGGGGGAAACCCUGACCCAGCAACGCCGCGUGAAGGAAGAAGGCCCUCGGGUUGUAAACUUCUUUUACCAGGGACGAAGAACGUGACGGUACCUGGAGAAAAAGCCACGGCUAACUACGUG